CCGUGCUCUAAUGGUAGCACACUGUCAAUGUAGUUGCAAGUUAUUGGACAUGGACUGUAUGCUCAGACCCUCAAGGGGAGACAGAGUCCACAGAUCCAAACUAGAUGUGGAACUGUAUGCAUGACAAUCCUGCUCUGUCUUAAGGAUGCAUCCCAGUCACCAUCUGCCUUAAUAGAUACUGUCCACCUUCCAGUUGGGAUGCCAAAACUCAUAGUUCUGUACUAAGAAGGAUUCACUGUCACAGGGAUCAUAACAGCAGCCUUGCUGUGUAAGUUCCUGAAGUGGCCAAGAACAGCGGCAUGGCGCUCCUCUCUGUGUUUACAUGCUCUAGCACCUCCAGAGGGGCUGCCUUGGACACAAUAGGGCAGCUUUUCACCUUGAGGCCAUGGGGAGGCACACAAUAGUGAGGAUGUUUCAGGGCUGCUCGUCUUAAUAGAAAAGAGGAGACAGUUAGGUACCUAACCCUUCUUAAGGGUGGGUUAAGGUACCGAGUUCAUCCUGAGCAGCAAGACUUUCCCUCCAUCAUGUGUGCCUGAAGCAUGCUGUGUUGCCAAAGGCAGCUAUGGACGUGAUGGCACCCCAGAAGGAAGUUAACACAGGAGUUAGAUAUAAGGAUUGUCAGAGUGUUUGGGCAGAAAGGGUUGCAUUCAAGAAUAGGCUAGUGCUAGCUAAGCAAGAACAAAGUCUUAGUAGUAUGAGGGCUAGAGUUUGUCUUCUGCUCAGCAGAGAACUGGAAAUUUGUGAUUAAGCAGUUUGUGACUGUAAAAAAAACCACUCUGCAGUACACACAUACUAGCUGUAAGCCCUAGUCAGCACUUCUCAGAUCUUCAAAGAUGUGUCUGAAAGCAGAGGAUGCUGUCAGUGUCAGGACUAAAAUUGGAAUGGUGCUCUCUAAGACAGCAUCCAUGCAGCUGGUGUUAACAGGUAUUGCUCCUCACCACUCAAGGUGAAGGGGAUCAAGGGGCCUGAGUGACAGUGGAUAGAUAAAUACGGUCACACGCAAAUAAAACUGUUGUAUCAUGUUCCUUCUACUUACCUCAUCUGGGGAAGGCUCAGUCUUCAUGGAGCUUCCUGGCCUGCCCCAUCCCACCUCUUCAUAGUCCGAGGCCUGGUGUCUUCUUGUUUGUAUCUUUACAGCAAGGCAAAGAGCAGGCUCAAGAACAGGUUUAAAUAUACUCCAGUGAUGCUCCUAUUCGGAUCCAGUUUUGUAGAACAGUGGUGCACUUGAUAGUUGUCUUGAUGAAGAGAUCUACUCACCACAUGCAACCCUGCAUGCUCUUGGAAGGUUUAGGAAUCUUUUUGAUCGACGCAUAGAAAAUUUCAAAGAAAAAUAUGGCAUUUCUCUGCUCAUUGUCUUUCCUUGACAGGAUUUCAGGAGGGCCACGAGAGGGCGAUGUGUCAGCAGAGAAAACUUCCACAAGAUGAAGUAAAGGCAAAGUGGCCAGAUCUUGUUCUUGUUGAAAAAAAUGCUUUCCUACAUAAAGAAAAUACAAUGCUAUUUUAAAACUACAAAGAUUAAAACCUCCAGGAACUCUGAAGAUGGAAAUCUAUCUAGCCAUGCAUUGCCAGCAAGUGCUUGGUGUUUUCUGCUUCUACAUGGGAAUUCACAAAUGUCUUGGCAUCCUUUCCUGCAGCCUUCGAGGGCAUGGAGGAAGAUGUCUGGAACAGGGAAACUGCCCCUGGGCCAUUUGCAUUGCCUGUUUCAGUUGUGGCACGGAUGAAGAGGAAGUAUGGAGAGCUUUCUUCUGUUUGUCUGGUGAGAAGACUUGUAGUGGUUGAUCCUUUUUGGUAUAUGGCGAUCAACUAGAUGAUAUUUUCAUAUAUCCUUCUUUCAUUCCAGUUUCUGUGAUUCUGUGACAUUUGUGGCUUCUGCCUUUGCAAUGCCAUACCACCAACUCAUGGUACAUCAAGCUUAUUAAGAUUUAUUAAAGGAAAGAAGUUUUGCCCGUUUCACAUAAACAGUUAAUGCUAUUGUGGCAAUAUUAUAGUUGUUGUCUUUUUCCACAUAGCACAAAUUCAUGUCUCCGUCUUCACAAUAACCACUAUAAAUUAUACAUCACAGGGAAUGAGAUCAAGUUAGGAAAAGGCAGUCCUACAUCUGUACAGGUAUGCUUGGCAACUCAUGCAAAAUCUUUAUCUUUUUUUUGCCUGAUUGUAACAUUGCUUUAGUGAUCUUUUUGUGCUUCAUAAAUUAAUGGGAAGGUGCAAGCUGCCAUUCAUGUAGUAAAUAGCACUGGGGGGAUCCCAGUGUUAUUUUGCUUGUCGUCUUUUGCCACAAUACACAACUCUGUAACCACAUUUGGGGUUCUGAUGGGUCUUGUAGGGUCAGUCCAGCCUCCUCCCACAUUGUGAGUGAGAAUGGAAGUUUUAUAGG